CACACCUGGUAUGGCUUCCCCUUCAGACUCUUCUCCAUCUUCAUAGCCCUGAUUUAAUCAGGGGAGACCUCUCAAGAAGCUGUUACUUACUAUGCAGUAAUCAAGGCAUCAUGGCAUCAUGAGGCAGUAAUCAAGGAACUAGUUGCCUGCAGCCCCUAUGAGCAUAGGGAGAGUGGCUUAAGCAGAAGACAGUGACCCAUGAAAGAAAGGCAGGCAGAGCUGACCAGAAGACAAGCUCAGAUCAAUGUCAGCUGAACAAGGACUCUCAUUCCACAGUUAUCUAUGGAAGACUCACUACUCCCUGCAGUAACACACAGCAUGACACUGAACCUUCCCACAGCUCCUCCCUUCCACUCCUCAAGGGCAACAUGUCACCACAGACCUGGAACUCAACCCAAUUCCACCAGUGGGUGGUAAGAUGACACUCCUACCUCCCUCACACUCCAAUUAUCCUUCCUUACCUCCCAGAAACUGCCCCCAGGAGCCUCCCCGCCAGCAUCAUCUUCUGAUGACAUCACCCUCUUUUUCUUGCAGCAGAGAAUGUUUGCAGAUUUCAGUUACCCUGAGAAGAGAGAAAAGUGAUUUCCAUCAUAGCACUGGCUGAGCCUUUGCAAACAGCAUAGUUCUCCAUUACUCUGGGAGCUGGAGGAGCCCAACUUGCUGCCCUGCAGUCAAGUACUGUCAUCAGUGCCCCUCAGCUGCAGAUGGCAAGGUCCAGCAGAGAUGCCCAGGGCUGAACUGGCCUCCUCCCUCCCUGCAGACAAGAGGCCUCCUUGGCAGGCCUGUAACACCUUAGGAAAGGAUGUUGUAGAAGACAAUCUUGCCAAACCUUGGCUGUGCAGAUAUCAGACAUGCUCAUGAAUCCAACAGUCUUCAGCAGCACCAAAUACUUCUGCAGAGAUUCUGUUCUUAACCAAAGCCCUCGAGAGGGUAAGAGAAACAGAGAUAGCUAAAGCUCUUUAAAAUCUGCCUUGAAAGACUUUAAAUAAAGUCUUGUGUCAAUGGAGAUGACUCCAGCUUCCCAGUAUGACUCAGGAUUACAGGAUUACAACAAC